rnacentral:rRNA from 1 species
GUCGAGAAUCUUUCACAAUGGGGGCAACCCUGAUGGAGCGACGCCGCGUGGAGGAUAAGGUCUUCGGAUUGUAAACUCCUGUCAUGCGUGAACAAGGUUGCUUGGUUAAUACCUGGGCAAAUUGAUGGUAACGCAAGAGGAAGAGACGGCUAACUCUGUGCCAGCAGCCGCGGUAAUACAGAGGUCUCAAGCGUUGUUCGGAAUCACUGGGCGUAAAGGGUGCGUAGGUGGCGGGGUAAGUCAGAUGUGAAAGCCCGGGGCUCAACCUCGGAACUGCAUCCGAUACUGCCAUGCUAGAGUACUGGAGAGGUGACUAGAAUUCUCGGUGUAGCAGUGAAAUGCGUAGAUAUCGAGAGGAAUACCAAAGGCGUAGGCAGGUCACUGGACAGUUACUGACACUGAGGCACGAAGGCCAGGGGAGCGAACGGGAUUAGAAACCCGUGUAGUCC